GUAAGACUUCUUGAUUCAUUGAUGAAAACAAUCUUAUGCAUGAUGAAAGACUUGUCUCACUUGUACAUCAUAGAUUUGACCAUUAAAAACCUAUAACUUGACAUGAUAAAAGUACAAAUUUAAGAUUCACUUUCAUCGAAGAUAAAUGAUAGAUAUUCAUCAACUCAACAUUACAUAUAUCACUCGAGUUCUCUAUCACGACUUUGAAGCAUUUCAACCACUUGACUCAUAGAAGGUCUAAUAUCCCUAUCUUCCUCAACACAGUCCAAAGCAACUCUUGCCAAAACUUCCAUCUUAUUUAAAUCACAAUUAUUCACCAUUGAAGGAUCUAUAAUUUCUUCAACCCAACAUGUACUUCUCUUUUUC
rnacentral:lncRNA from 1 species